rnacentral:lncRNA from 1 species
ACCACUUGUGUGUGACACUAAUAUAAGGAUAUGGAUGCUCAUUAAAGAAUGAGUUCACUGAAUUGACCUACGAGAAAACAUCUAAUGGAGCUUUAUUUGCAUGUCAACUAGUUGUUCUCUAGUAGGAGUUGUACAAGUGAUCCUUAGAUUUGAGAUCACCAUGAUACCUUAUGUACCUGAAUCUAUAUUUUAUUUCAUUCCCUAACUUGGUUCUUUGAUCUUUGUGUGGGGUAUUUUUAAUAUGCUGAAGUGUGCAUAGAGAUUGUGAGUGGUCAAUAAGGGAUCGGUUACUCCUAGUAAGAAAAGUGAACAUCUUAUGUGAUCUCACAAGAUGAUGAUUCGAGAAGCCUUUGGCCAAAGCAGAAUGAUAAUUAAAAAGAAGUUUCUAAUAUAUC